rnacentral:rRNA from 2 species
UUAUAUGAGAGUUUGAUCCUGGCUCAGGACGAACGCUGGCGGCGUGCCUAAUACAUGCAAGUAGGACGCACAGUCUAUACCGUAGCUUGCUACACCAUAGACUGUGAGUUGCGAACGGGUGAGUAACGCGUAGGUAACCUGCCUAUUAGAGGGGGAUAACUAUUGGAAACGAUAGCUAAUACCGCAUAACAGUAUGUAACACAUGUUAGAUGCUUGAAAGAUGCAAUUGCAUCGCUAGUAGAUGGACCUGCGUUGUAUUAGCUAGUAGGUAGGGUAAUGGCCUACCUAGGCGACGAUACAUAGCCGACCUGAGAGGGUGAUCGGCCACACUGGGACUGAGACACGGCCCAGACUCCUACGGGAGGCAGCAGUAGGGAAUCUUCGGCAAUGGGGGGAACCCUGACCGAGCAACGCCGCGUGAGUGAAGAAGGUUUUCGGAUCGUAAAGCUCUGUUGUUAAGGAAGAACGAGUGUGAGAAUGGAAAGUUCAUACUGUGACGGUACUUAACCAGAAAGGGACGGCUAACUACGUGCCAGCAGCCGCGGUAAUACGUAGGUCCCGAGCGUUGUCCGGAUUUAUUGGGCGUAAAGCGAGCGCAGGCGGUUAGAAAAGUCUGAAGUGAAAGGCAGUGGCUCAACCAUUGUAGGCUUUGGAAACUGUUUAACUUGAGUGCAGAAGGGGAGAGUGGAAUUCCAUGUGUAGCGGUGAAAUGCGUAGAUAUAUGGAGGAACACCGGUGGCGAAAGCGGCUCUCUGGUCUGUAACUGACGCUGAGGCUCGAAAGCGUGGGGAGCGAACAGGAUUAGAUACCCUGGUAGUCCACGCCGUAAACGAUGAGUGCUAGGUGUUGGGUCCUUUCCGGGACUCAGUGCCGCAGCUAACGCAUUAAGCACUCCGCCUGGGGAGUACGACCGCAAGGUUGAAACUCAAAGGAAUUGACGGGGGCCCGCACAAGCGGUGGAGCAUGUGGUUUAAUUC